GACUCCGUAGCUCAACGGCAGAGCAGCGGACUUUUAAUCCGUUGGUUCUGGGUUCGAAUCCCAGCGGGGUCA
rnacentral:tRNA from 1 species